rnacentral:rRNA from 1 species
UACGUAGGGUGCGAGCGUUGUCCGGAAUUAUUGGGCGUAAAGAGCUCGUAGGCGGUGUGUCGCCGUCGGCCGUGAAAACCUGCAGCUUAACUGCGGGCUUGCGGUUGAUACGGGCGGGCUAGAGUUCGGUAGGGGAGACUGGAAUUCCUGGUGUAGCGGUGAAAUGCGCAGAUAUCAGGAGGAACACCGGUGGCGAAGGCGGGUCUCUGGGCCGAUACUGACGCUGAGGAGCGAAAGCGUGGGGAGCGAACAGG